AAGUCGUAACAAGGUUUCCGUAGGUGAACCUGCGGAAGGAUCAUUAGAAAUGUGCCGCAAGGCCUUAUCUAUUCACACACACAACUGUGCACGCCCUCAGGCAUAAACUAUUUUAAACGGUAAUGAAUGUAUAAAAGUUAACAUAAUACAACUUUCAACAACGGAUCUCUAGGCUCUCGCAUCGAUGAAGAACGCAGCGAAUUGCGAAAAGUAAUGUGAAUUGCAGAAUUCAGUGAAUCAUCGAAUCUUUGAACGCACCUUGCACCCUUUGGUAUUCCGAAGGGUAUGCCUGUCUGAGUGUCAUUAGACCUUCUCUCUGGCGGUUUCUUGACCGUCAUUGAGCUUUGGGAUCGCCUCUGGGCCUUCCUUAAAUGCCUUAGUGUGACAAAACAUCAGUUGUCUCUGUCUGCACUCUAAACCGCAGCAAUGCACUCUUGAUUUGACCUCAGAUCAGGUAGGACUACCCGCUGAACUUAAGCAUAUCAAUAAGCGGAGGAAAAGAAACUAACAAGGAUUCCCCUAGUAGCGGCGAGCGAAGCGGGAAGAGCUCAAAUUUGUAAUCUGGCAGCAAUGCCCGAGUUGUAAUCUAUAGAGUCGUUUUCGGUGCCGGACCGCGUCCAAGUCCCUUGGAACAGGGUAUCAAAGAGGGUGAGAAUCCCGUGCUUGACGCGACGACCGGGGCUGUGUGAUACGUCUUCUACGAGUCGAGUUGUUUGGGAAUGCAGCUCUAAACGGGUGGUAAAUUCCAUCUAAAGCUAAAUAUUGGCGAGAGACCGAUAGCGAACAAGUACCGUGAGGGAAAGAUGAAAAGCACUUUGGAAAGAGAGUUAAACAGUACGUGAAAUUGUUGAAAGGGAAACGAUUGAAGUCAGUCGUGUUCAUUGGUUUCAGCGGGUUCUGCCCGUGUAUUACCUUUGAACGGGUCAACAUCGGUUAGAUUGGGUGCAGAAAGGCGUUGGGAAGCUAGCACCCUCGGGUGUGUUAUAGCCCGGCGUCAUAUACACUCGACCUGACCGAGGCUUGCGGUGUGCCUCUUUGAGGCGGUCUCUUUGGACCCCCACACCUGGGAUGUUGGCAAAAUGGCUUUAAACGACC
rnacentral:rRNA from 1 species